GGAAACUAGACAAGUGAGGUUUAUAUAUCUGUGAAAUGUCCAGGGAGGGAGAAAGAACUCUUGUCUGUUUGAGGAAAUUGUGAAUGUUCCAGUUUGGCCAUCUUGAUUAGCAUCCUUUAUGGGGAGGUGUUUAAAAGCUCUAAAACUCUAAAACCAGGACAGUAAAUAUAGAGCAACACUAAAAGAACAGGGGAAUUCCAGACAAGAAACAAUCAGGGCCAGUUAACACCUCCCAACAAAGCAGUCAGGCUUUGAAGCUGCAAAGCCAAUCAAAGCUAAUCAAGGUGGCCAAUUGCAACAUUCACACUUUCCUCAAACAGACAAUAGUUCUUUCUCCAACCCAGGACAUUCUACAGAUAUAUAAACCUCACUUGCCUAGUUUCCAACAGACUUCACAACCUCUGAGGAUGCUUCUGAAACAUGGCCAUACAGCCCGGAAAACCCACAGCAACUUACAUGCUGAUAUCUUGGAAGUGGUUUUGGAACUUACGGUUUUUCUCUUUUAGUUGAUAUCUUCUUUGUUUUCACACCUGCAAAUAUACAUAGUGAUAAUUUUAAACGGGUCUUUACAAACAUGUUUCUUGAGAACCUUUAUACAGGUUCAGAGGUGGGGCAUAAAAUUGUAUUUCAGUACACAAUAUUAAAAUAUGUAAUUUAAAAUUGAGUUUGUGAAAGUGUUUUUUUUUUAAUAAAAUGGUAUGACAGGAAAGCUUCUUGAAAUAAUUUCCUCCCACUUCUUCACUGCUGCAAACAUUUUCAGAGAGAAAUAAGAGGAAUGUUGACGGUGCGAAACCACUGGGGAAACGGAGAAUGAGGAACCGGCCUGGGGCUCAUCCCUCUCCUGUCUGCAUGAGCCGCAGCCCCAGGGAAAGGAGUGGCGGUGAAAGCAGCCUCCCUGAUGUUCUUGGCAAUCCAGAGUUAGAAGACACAAACCAAAGAUCCUACAAGCAUCAAAGAUCUGACAUGGUGGUGAUGACUGUUGAGCAAUGACUGCCACCUACGGACUGGAUGAAAUUGAUUCCUUACAGCCCCUGUUCUUUCUUCUUCCAAACCUAUCAGGGAACCAAUUAUACAUUAUAUGCAACCAAAUUGCUUUUUCUCCCACCCCCUUGUUUUAAGACUUAGGAGAGGAAUCAAAAGUCUUUGGUACACCAGACAUCACUGAAUUUCAUUUCUCACCACCUCUAGUCAACUUGGUCCAUGAGUAGAGAUAUUAGACAUGGUGGGUUAUUUAUACCUGGAAGGCUCUCCAUCUUGGCCAUACGGAGUUAUAUAGUCUGUGAAAUACAAGGUGAAAGGAAGAAAUGUGUCAGGAGGAAGGAGUAUUAAGCAAACCCUAGUUGUGAUGACUUCCAUCUGGAAAUCUAUGUCUUCAUUGUAAUGUUAUUGAAAAUUGAACCCCAAAAAUAUGAACCUGAGUCCACAGCUUCAUUGGGUCAGAUAGUGAGCACGUAUUGACCUUUUACAAUACCCUGGAAGAGUCACAGGGAACACAUUAUGGGUCUCUUGCAAAGGUUCUCACAAUAUUAUCUGAUUUUAUCCUGGGAAUGUUUCCUAAUCUAUAGUAUUGUGCCAGACCCCCUUCUGUGAGGUCUCCAUUGUAUAUGGCAACAUACUGAACCCAUGUUUGUUUACCUGGCUGGCACCCAUUGUAUUGACUGAAACAGAUAAAUCAAAACCCACUUCAUCCCAUUAUCUCCUGCCAUACCACAUCCCUUUCCACUCACAUCAUUCUCCUGGGUAGAUGAAUAAAUGGACACAAAUCUCGAAAAUAAUCCAAAGACAGUUAAUAAAUAAAUAAUCCAAUGACAGUUUCCUGCCAUGACUGGAGCCAACCAGUGAUGACGUCAGAUGAAGCCCCAGAGCAACCAGGGAGCAGAUCCUAGCCAGCUACUUUUUGGACCAAUCCAGAGUUUGCACAGUAACGUGCCUUUGUUUUGCAGUGCUAUACAUAUUUCUGCAUGUUCACAUUGAGAUAUGUCAGUCUUUGGAGCUCAUACUCCACUGGCAUCCAUCUUGGCCAAGGUGAAUAAAUGCCUCUGAUUUUGCCUUCAACCCAUCUGUAUC
rnacentral:lncRNA from 11 species